rnacentral:rRNA from 1 species
GACGAACGCUGGCGGCGUGCUUAACACAUGCAAGUCGAACGGAAAGGCCCUGCUUUUGUGGGGUGCUCGAGUGGCGAACGGGUGAGUAACACGUGAGUAACCUGCCCUUGACUUUGGGAUAACUUCAGGAAACUGGGGCUAAUACCGGAUAGGAGCUCCUGCUGCAUGGUGGGGGUUGGAAAGUUUCGGCGGUUGGGGAUGGACUCGCGGCUUAUCAGCUUGUUGGUGGGGUAGUGGCUUACCAAGGCUUUGACGGGUAGCCGGCCUGAGAGGGUGACCGGCCACAUUGGGACUGAGAUACGGCCCAGACUCCUACGGGAGGCAGCAGUGGGGAAUAUUGCACAAUGGGCGGAAGCCUGAUGCAGCAACGCCGCGUGCGGGAUGACGGCCUUCGGGUUGUAAACCGCUUUCGCCUGUGACGAAGCGUGAGUGACGGUAAUGGGUAAAGAAGCACCGGCUAACUACGUGCCAGCAGCCGCGGUGAUACGUAGGGUGCGAGCGUUGUCCGGAUUUAUUGGGCGUAAAGGGCUCGUAGGUGGUUGAUCGCGUCGGAAGUGUAAUCUUGGGGCUUAACCCUGAGCGUGCUUUCGAUACGGGUUGACUUGAGGAAGGUAGGGGAGAAUGGAAUUCCUGGUGGAGCGGUGGAAUGCGCAGAUAUCAGGAGGAACACCAGUGGCGAAGGCGGUUCUCUGGGCCUUUCCUGACGCUGAGGAGCGAAAGCGUGGGGAGCGAACAGGCUUAGAUACCCUGGUAGUCCACGCUGUAAACGGUGGGUACUAGGUGUGGGGUCCAUUCCACGGGUUCCGUGCCGUAGCUAACGCUUUAAGUACCCCGCCUGGGGAGUACGGCCGCAAGGCUAAAACUCAAAGGAAUUGACGGGGCCCCGCACAAGCGGCGGAGCAUGCGGAUUAAUUCGAUGCAACGCGUAGAACCUUACCUGGGUUUGACAUGGAUCGGGAGUGCUCAGAGAUGGGUGUGCCUCUUUUGGGGUCGGUUCACAGGUGGUGCAUGGCUGUCGUCAGCUCGUGUCGUGAGAUGUUGGGUUAAGUCCCGCAACGAGCGCAACCCUUGUUCACUGUUGCCAGCACGUUAUGGUGGGGACUCAGUGGAGACCGCCGGGGUCAACUCGGAGGAAGGUGGGGAUGACGUCAAGUCAUCAUGCCCCUUAUGUCCAGGGCUUCACGCAUGCUACAAUGGCUGGUACAGAGAGUGGCGAGCCUGUGAGGGUGAGCGAAUCUCGGAAAGCCGGUCUCAGUUCGGAUUGGGGUCUGCAACCCGACCUCAUGAAGUCGGCGUCGCUAGUAAUCGCAGAUCAGCAACGCUGCGGUGAAUACGUUCCCGGGGCU